UUUCUUUUUGUUUGCUGCCUUCCGUAGAAGAUGUGGCUUGCUCAUGCUUGACUUCUGCCAUGGUUGUGAGGCCUCCCCAGCCAUGUGGAACUGUUUUCAGGUGCUGGUUCCAUGGCUCUUCCUGAGCCGAAAAUAAGGAAACUCCAUAGACCUUGUCCACUGGAACUCGUUCCCAUCUACCCUCCACUCUAUCCAGGGUGAUGGAUCUCUGCAGUAAGUGGAAGAGUUCUUCAUGGCCCCCAAGGUUAUAUCCAUCUAGAACUUCAGCACGUAAUUUCAUCUGGAAAUAGUGCCUUUGCGGAUAUAAGUUAGGUAAAACUGAAGAUGAGAUCAUACUGGAUUAGGAUGGGAUCUAAAUCCAAUGAAAAUGUCUUCAUAAAAAACAGGAAAGAACCCAUAGAAACACAAGGAAGAAGGUCAUGUGAAGAUGGAGGCAGAGAUUGGAGGGAUGCAGCCACCGGCCCAGGAAUGCCAGCAGCCACCCAGAAGCUGGAAGGAAAUGAGGGAUUCUCUCCUAGAACCUUUAGAGAGAACAUGGUCCUGUGAACAGCUUGAUUUUGGACUUGCCCAUAGCUUGUAUACUCUUACUUUGGAUACAAUUUUAUCCAAACUUGGCUAAACAGUUUCUCAGCCUAUGGAAAAUUUAAAAUGGAGAAGAUUCAACUCGAUUCUUACAGAUUCAAAGCAAGAAAAUGAUGGGAACAUAGGAGGAGACCAAGAAAGCCUAUAAAAAGCAAAAAUAUGAAGUGAACAUUGUGGUAGCUUUAAGAUGUUUAGUGUAGCUGCAGGCACCCUAUACACAUGAAAACCCCCAAGGGGAAUCCCCAUAUCACAGUGUAGUGUGAUAUUUGACAUUCGUGAUCAUCUAGAGAUGUACAGAAAAGGUGAAUCUGUGUUCUGUAUAUUCUGCCUAAGGCAAAGAAAUGUUUAGCUCUCUUUAAAAUAGUUCCAUAAUUUUUUCUAAAAAGCUUUGCUUGAAAACUGUAAGCUUCCCAUAUCUGGAGCAUUUCACUUUAAAUAUUUGGAUAAAUAUGUUAUCUUCUUACUUGGACAUUUCAUGUGUUUAGGGAUUGUCUUCUAAAUUCUUCCUAAUUCAUAUAGCUGCUAACACUUCCCGCAGAGCUAAACCAUUACAGAUAUGAAAUAAAGACCUAUUGAUUUGACUUACUUUUACUUGUAAAACCUUCUGAGUGUUAUAACCUCAUUUAAUCUUUCAGCAUUUACAGUUUCAAGAGUUUGUGUCACAAUUAGAAGAAUUCAGCUGCACCUCCAAGUGACAGCAGUUGCUCUGGUUGGUGGGUGAUCUCAGGAGGCUUGAGAAUUGCUUUGUCUGUGAGGGAAGUAAGACAUUUUCAGAGCCCCACUUUAGAAGGUGUGAACUGGCUAGAUAAUGAACCCCAGGGCUAACGCUGCUAUAGCAGUGGGAAGGAGGUGAUGGGUUUUCAGUUUGGACCUCAAACAUCAAUACCCUCCUGGUACGGGGAGGAACAGAGUCCCUCCUUUACUUCUCCAUUAGAAAGAAUGAGAUGGCAAGACAAUGAAACAGGCAAAGUGAACAGAGAUGCAAGACAAAAUUCAGGUGAGAGAGCCAGAGCAUCACUCAGCCAUUCCUGACAUGUAAAACAGGCAACUAGAAAUUUGCAGAAAGGAAGCGAAGUCUCCAUAAAGAUGUUUUUAAAGUGAGCUUGAAGUAUUUGGAGACAAUUCAGUGUUACAUAAAAUCUGCAAAUCUCUGGAUAAAGAAGCAGAGAUCCCAGCAUGGGACAAAUGGAGCCUCAAAAGUGGGAAGAAGACAGAGAAGACCAGGGCAGAAUGCAUCUCUUCCUUUCUCUUGGCUUUCCUGGAUAAGGACUGCAUCAUUCCUGUGGAAGGACAGGCCAUCAGCUCCGAAACACUGUAUGUAUUUUCCAGUAUAUACUGCUAGCUGUGUGAUGUUGGGAAAAUUUGUUACCCUGUCUAACCCCCACUUCCCUCAUCUGUAAAAUGGAAAUAAUGAUAGUACCUACCUAUCUCAUAGGUGGCAACUACAAGGGGCAGCACACUCAGGGAAUUAAGGAAGUUUCAGUGAACAUCAACUUUAUGAACACAGUGUUCAUAAAGGCAGGUCAGUGCAGUGGUUUGGGAGCCAGGAGAAGCACGUGGGCCGGAGUGUGCCUGCAGGAGACAAGGUCAGAGAUGUUGCUAAUAAUGGAGAAUAAAGGAUGCAUUCUCAUUACUGA
rnacentral:lncRNA from 1 species